GAGCGAAUCCAGAAAAUAAUGUCCCAGUUCAGAUUGCAGGCUGCAACUCGCCUGCAUGAAGUCGGAAUUGCUAGUAAUCGCGAAUCAGAAUGUCGCGGUGAAUACGUUCCCGGGUCUUGUACACACCGCCCGUCACACCAUGGGAGUCGGAAAUGCCCGAAGUCAGUGACCUAACCGAAAGGAAGGAGCUGCCGAAGGUGGAGCCGGUAACUGGGGUGAAGUCGUAACAAGGUAAC
rnacentral:rRNA from 1 species